rnacentral:rRNA from 1 species
GUUGUAUGGUUAAGUGACUAAGCGUACACGGUGGAUGCCUUGGCAGUCAGAGGCGAUGAAAGACGUAGUAACUUGCGAUAAGCCCAGAUUAGGUAGUAACAACCAUUUGAGUCUGGGAUUUCUGAAUGGGGAAACCCACGUGCAUAAGCACGUAUCCUUACCUGAAUACAUAGGGUAAGGAGGCGAACCGGGGGAACUGAAACAUCUAAGUACCCCGAGGAAAAGAAAUCAACCGAGAUUCCGAAAGUAGCGGCGAGCGAAAUUGGACUAGCCCUUAAGCUUUACACGCGUUAGACGAACGGUCUGGAAAGUCCGACGAUACAGGGUGAUAGUCCCGUAGUUGACGACGUGUGUUCAGUGAAAUCGAGUAGGGCGGGACACGUGAUAUCCUGUCUGAAUAUGGGGGGACCAUCCUCCAAGGCUAAAUACUACUGACUGACCGAUAGUGAACCAGUACCGUGAGGGAAAGGCGAAAAGAACCCCUGUGAGGGGAGUGAAAUAGAACCUGAAACCGUGUACGUACAAGCAGUAGGAGCAGGCUUGUCCUGUGACUGCGUACCUUUUGUAUAAUGGGUCAGCGACUUAUAUUCAGUGGCAAGGUUAACCAUCUAGGGGAGCCGUAGGGAAACCGAGUCUUAACUGGGCGUUCAGUCUCUGGAUAUAGACCCGAAACCAGGUGAUCUAGCCAUGGGCAGGUUGAAGGUUGAGUAACAUCAACUGGAGGACCGAACCGACUAAUGUUGAAAAAUUAGCGGAUGACUUGUGGCUAGGGGUGAAAGGCCAAUCAAACCUGGAGAUAGCUGGUUCUCCCCGAAAGCUAUUUAGGUAGCGCCUCGGACGAAUACUACUGGGGGUAGAGCACUGUUAAGGCUAGGGGGUCAUCCCGACUUACCAACCCUUUGCAAACUCCGAAUACCAGUAAGUACUAUCCGGGAGACACACGGCGGGUGCUAACGUCCGUCGUGGAGAGGGAAACAACCCAGACCGCCAGCUAAGGUCCCAAAUUACUACUAAGUGGGAAACGAUGUGGGAAGGCUCAGACAGCCAGGAUGUUGGCUUAGAAGCAGCCAUCAUUUAAAGAAAGCGUAAUAGCUCACUGGUCGAGUCGGCCUGCGCGGAAGAUGUAACGGGGCUAAGUAGUAAACCGAAGCUGCGGCAAUGUGCUUUUGCACAUUGGGUAGGGGAGCGUUCUGUAAGCGGUUGAAGGUGUGUGGUAACGCAUGCUGGACGUAUCAGAAGUGCGAAUGCUGACAUGAGUAACGAUAAAGGGGGUGAAAAACCUCCUCGCCGGAAGACCAAGGGUUCCUGUCCAACGUUAAUCGGGGCAGGGUAAGUCGACCCCUAAGGCGAGGCCGAAAGGCGUAGUCGAUGGGAAACGGGUUAAUAUUCCCGUACUUCUUACAAUUGCGAUGGGGGGACGGAGAAGGCUAGGUGGGCCUGGCGACGGUUGUCCAGGUUCAAGUGCGUAGGCUUAAGAGUUAGGUAAAUCCGGCUCUUUUUAAGGCUGAGACACGACGUCGAGCACCUACGGGUGUGAAGUCAUUGAUGCCAUGCUUCCAGGAAAAGCCUCUAAGCUUCAGAUUGUAAGGAAUCGUACCCCAAACCGACACAGGUGGUCGGGUAGAGAAUACCAAGGCGCUUGAGAGAACUCGGGUGAAGGAACUAGGCAAAAUGGUACCGUAACUUCGGGAGAAGGUACGCUCUUGAUGGUGAAGUCCCUCGCGGAUGGAGCUGACGAGAGUCGCAGAUACCAGGUGGCUGCAACUGUUUAUUAAAAACACAGCACUGUGCAAAAUCGUAAGAUGACGUAUACGGUGUGACGCCUGCCCGGUGCCGGAAGGUUAAUUGAUGGGGUUAGACUUCGGUCGAAGCUCUUGAUCGAAGCCCCGGUAAACGGCGGCCGUAACUAUAACGGUCCUAAGGUAGCGAAAUUCCUUGUCGGGUAAGUUCCGACCUGCACGAAUGGCGUAAUGAUGGCCACGCUGUCUCCACCCGAGACUCAGUGAAAUUGAAAUCGCUGUGAAGAUGCAGUGUACCCGCGGCUAGACGGAAAGACCCCGUGAACCUUUACUACAGCUUGGCACUGAACAUUGACCCUACAUGUGUAGGAUAGGUGGGAGGCUUUGAAGCACGUACGCCAGUAUGUGUGGAGCCGUCCUUGAAAUACCACCCUUGUAGUGUUGAUGUUCUAACGUCGACCCCUAAUCGGGGUUGCGGACAGUGCCUGGUGGGUAGUUUGACUGGGGCGGUCUCCUCCCAAAGAGUAACGGAGGAGCACGAAGGUGGGCUAAUCACGGUUGGACAUCGUGAGGUUAGUGCAAUGGCAUAAGCCCGCUUGACUGCGAGAAUGACAAUUCGAGCAGGUGCGAAAGCAGGUCAUAGUGAUCCGGUGGUUCUGAAUGGAAGGGCCAUCGCUCAACGGAUAAAAGGUACUCCGGGGAUAACAGGCUGAUACCGCCCAAGAGUUCAUAUCGACGGCGGUGUUUGGCACCUCGAUGUCGGCUCAUCACAUCCUGGGGCUGAAGUCGGUCCCAAGGGUAUGGCUGUUCGCCAUUUAAAGUGGUACGCGAGCUGGGUUUAGAACGUCGUGAGACAGUUCGGUCCCUAUCUGCCGUGGGCGUUGGAAGAUUGAAGGGGGCUGCUCCUAGUACGAGAGGACCGGAGUGGACGAACCUCUGGUGUUCGGGUUGUGUCGCCAGACGCAUUGCCCGGUAGCUAAGUUCGGAAUCGAUAACCGCUGAAAGCAUCUAAGCGGGAAGCGAGCCCUGAGAUGAGUCUUCCCUGAUACUUUAAGUAUCCUAAAGGGUUGUCGGAGACUACGACGUUGAUAGGUCAGGUGUGUAAGUGCUGUGAGGCAUUGAGCUAACUGAUACUAAUUGCCCGUGAGGCUUAACCAUACAACACCCAAGGGGUUU